AUGCACAGCCAUACAAAAAUGGACCAAUCAGGUGGGAGAACCUUCAAUAAUUGCAGUCCUCGAGGGUACUACAUAUGUUGUCAGGGAAUUGUUCUGAAGUUGGAUUGGUGGUCAUGCGGAGUGAAAAAUCUCAUCCUUCAGUUUAUUGGAUUGGAUAUGCUGAUACGUGCAACUGUGGAAGGUUGUACCCCUCUUGUACUCAUUUCAUUCCCUUCUAUCAAUGAAAGGUUUUGCUGCUUGGCUUGGGUACUACAACGAGAUAUUGCCCGGCAAGCUUACGGACACAAAAAAGGCUGUGAAAGACAAAGCACAAGGUGUCUUCAUGUCACAAAUUGCUUCUGCAUGUACUGGUUGAUUUUAGUAAGAUCACUCCAAUUUUCUUGCAAUGAUUCUGACUCUGCCUGCUUUCCCUGCAGGGUUAAAGUUUAUUUGUCUUAUCAAUCCCUGCAAUUUGGAUGA
rnacentral:rRNA from 1 species